rnacentral:lncRNA from 1 species
CUAUGCAGGAGGACUGCAUGUGAUGAGUUAAGAAGAUCUGCGACCAUUUUAGCUCCAGCAGUUAGUACACAACCAAUCAACAGUGCAUUUUCACGACCCAGGCUUCUGAAUUCUGACUGACAGGCUCGCAGGCACAGCCACAUAUAAUCUCACGCAUUCAAAAUGCUAGCUACAUGAAAUACGCCCAGAUUUACGAGUAGAAAUCCAAGGUAACACUUAUCGCUUAAAAGUAUUUACUUCAUUUUUUAUCUUCAUGUAAAAAGAGAAUGCAAGCUGAAAUAUAAAGUCUGCAGAUUCCUCCUCUAUGUUCAAUUUUCCUAAUAGGAAGAACCAUACCAACAACCCUUGAACUAGAUUGGUCGAAGCAGCAUACAUACAUAUUCAUGUUUUACAUUUUAAAUUUGAAGACCAAGGCAACUCCCGUCGAUUUAAUUGGAGGUGAAUGUCUGUUUUUUGUUUGUAUUUAAUCUUAGAAAACAAAAUCUCAUCAAGUGAAAAUCCACAGGCAUUGCAGUCCAAUUGUUCUAAGGAUUGGAACCAAAAAUCCACAGGCAUUGCAGUCCAAUUGUUCUAAGGAUUGGAACCAGACGUGUGACUCAAUACUGCUUGGAACAUGUGAGCAAAGUUUACGUACAUGCACCUUCUUGGAUGAUACAACUUAUCUAUGUUUGUAUCUCCUCGUCAUUAAAACUUUGCAAACUUUAUGAGUAAAAAGUAAGAAGUAAUGUUCUUUGUCGGUGUCAAAACCGGCGGAUCUGGGGUAGGGGGUCCUGAACUGUGCGUCUAGGCGGAUGGUAACAGGAGGCAGGGGACACAAUGUUUUACCCAGGUUCGGGCCCUUUUGAUGGAGGUAAAACCCUACGUUCUGCUUGAUUAAUAUUGAUGAUAUGGGUAGUACAAGAGUAGAUAUACCGUGAGAUCAGAGAGGCUAAACCCUAGAAGCUAGCCUAUGGUAUGAUUGUAUGUUCGCCCUAUGGACUAAAACCCUCCGGUUUAUAUAGACACCGGAGAGGGCUAGGGUUACACAGAGUUGGUUACAAUGGUAGGAGAUCUAUAUAUCUGUAUCACCAAGUUUGCCUUCCACGCCAAGGAAAGUCCCUUCCGGAUACGGAAUGAAGUCUUCAAUCUUGUAUCUUCAUAGUCCAGGAGUCCGGCCGAAGGUAUAGUCCGGCUAUCCGGACACCCCCUAAUCCAAGACUCCCUCAGCAGCCCCUGAACCAGGUUUUAAUGACGACGAGUCUGGCGCGCAGAUUGUCUUCGGCAUUGCAAGGCGGGUUCCUCCUUCAAGUACUUCAUAGAAGAUUUUGAACACAAAGGUAGUGUCCGGCUCUGCAAAAUAAGUUUCCACAUAUUGCCAUAGAGAGAAUAAUAUUUACACAAAUCUAAUCUGCUGACGUAUUCCGUAGCGUGAUAUCACACCACGGCCAAGUCUUUAUUCGAAUCGUUUUACUGUUCCACCUCAGCGCGUUUAGCGAGGUGGUUUCCUUGUCACGUCUUGUCAAAGCAGAGAUCGUGUCCCCUUAUUUCGGAAUUCUCAUCAAUACGGGCGUGGGUAACCCAACCGCGCCAUUGAUUACGGCGCUUGGGAGAUAAGCGAGUUUUACCAGGCUGGUGGGGACGCAUAGUCGCGUCUGCCCAUAUAAGGGGAUAAGGAUCCACCUUUUCAUCCACGCCUUCUUCCUCCUUUGCCUAUCCAUUUUCGCGCACUCGAGCUCUAGCGCCCAAGUCCGCACACCCCAUCUCAACCUUCUCUAGCCAUGUCCGGAGCGGGAGGCAAGUGAAUGGUCUCCUCCGUCACGGAGGGACACAUCAAAAAACCGAGAAAGGCCGGAUACUUGUCUAAUGACAUUGCGCACCGGCUUCCCAAAGAGGGACAGCUCAUCCCCACCCCUAGGCCCCAUGAGAGGGUGGUGUUCCUCCCCCAUUUCCUCCGCGGACUGGGCUUCCCUCUCCACCCAUUUGUCCGGGGGCUCAUGUUCUACUAUGAUCUGGAUUUCCACGAUCUGGCCCCGAACUUUGUCCUCAACAUCUCGGCGUUUAUCGUCGUGUGCGAGGCUUUCUUCUGCAUCCGCCCCCAUUUUGGCCUAUGGCUCAAGACUUUCAAUGUCAAGCCGAAGGUGGUGCGCGGCACCCAGGCGGAGUGCGGAGGCGCCAUGAUGGGCAAUAUGCCCAAUGUCCUAUGGCUCGAGGGCUCCUUCAUGGAGUCCCUAAAGGGGUGGCAAUCGGGGUGGUUUUAUAUCACCGAGCCGCGCGACCCUGAAUGGGUCGCAGCCCCCUAGUUUCGAUCCGGACCCCCUAUGCGGCUCGCCUCCUGGAAAGAGACGGGCCUGUCAUGGGAUAAAAAAGGAGAGCUGACCGGACUCCAAACAUGCGUCCAAACCCUGGUGGACAAGAAGCUCAAACUUGUCAACGUAGUCCAGGUUAUGCUCAUCCGUCGGAUCCUCCCGUGUCAACAACGGGCUUUCAACCUGUGGGACUUUGAUCCAGCGCGGCACCGAACUCUUAGCAGGCUCUUCGACACGACGUACGAAGAUGCCUGGAAAGUGCUUUUCAAGGGCGCCGAGGCCCCCGCAUCCGCUACCGAGGAUCGCGGAUUUUGCACACAACGUCACGCUCGUGCGGUAAGCUGUUUUUACCUUUUACAGGGUAUUAGUUUUUCAUAGUUUGACUCCAUGCAGGAUCUAAGCUCCCUUACCUUGGACAUGAUUGGCAGGAGACGUCCGGACAGAUCAAUUGUCCGGCUCCUUUGCCCGAAGGCCCAGCGGACACUCGCUUGGCGAAGCUGCUGGUUCUGGCACCCUAUGUGGUGCCAGAGAAGAAGGCCAAGAAGAAGGCCACGGAGACUCGAAAGAGUGCCCGGCGCCAGGAGGUGUCGGAUUCAUCAUCCGACGACUCCAAGGCGCACUCCUCCCAUGAAGGCGAGGAGGAAGAAGAGACCUCUCCCCCUCCAGCGGGGGGAGGGAAGAAAAGGAAGGCCGCCCCAACUGGAGAGGCCGAAGGGUCCAAGAAGGGGAAGACCCCUCCUCCGGAUUACUCCACCAAUGCCGACGACGGCGAAGAGGAGUGGCCGCACAGGGCCAAGCCCCUGGCGAGAUCGUAAGUAUCCGGAUACUAGAGUGAUUCAUAGUAUUCCCCCAUUGCACAGCUUUUCCUUACGUCGAACAUGUUUAUGCAGUCCACCCAAAGACCGGCUCGACGUGUCGUCGAGCGGUUCCCUGGAUUCGUCAGAUGUGAAUUCGCUUCCGAAGGCUACCUCCCCCAUCCUACGGACGACGCCGCGGUGGCGUCCCAACAGGUUCCAAGCCAGGAGGAGGUGGUCCUGGAGGCGCCGCAAGGCGACCUCCCGGACUCCAGGCGUAAAGGGGAUAGAACCCCCAAGGGCUCCGAGUCCGGCCUUGACCCGGACACCGCGCCGGAACCUUCAACGGUUCCGGACUCCGGUAGGCAGGCUCCUUCCAAGAGGAGCAAGCCUAUCGAGUCGGCGACCUCCGUCCAACCGGAGGCACCGGACAAUUUGCUGGAGGUGCUUAACAGCGUCUCCAUCGACGAGGAGCACCGCACUAUUAUGAGUGCAGUGAUCCAGAAGGUUCAGUCUGCCAAGAGCGGACUGACUGAAGCCUGUGCCAGCCUUCUAACAGGCUUUGAGGUAAGUAAAGAAUAUGUAAAAAUAUUACCGCAUAGACAGUAGCCCCUGAUGCUUUGUUCGGCGUUCGGAAAGAAAAGCCGAAUAGAGGAUCUAAUAACAUUUGCAGGAGUCUAACAUAAUCAAGUCAAUAUGCAUAUGCAGGCUUCGCUGCUGGCCUCCGCUGCACUGACUGCGGAGGUGGAUACGUUGAAGCAAAACCUCGCGCGGUCCGAGAACGAGCUCGGCCAUGCCAAGAGGCAACUCGAGGAGAAGGAAGGUAAGUAAAACCUUGCGCAAGUAUAUAGAGAAGAUGUGGUUGCAAAAAAUGACAGGAUCAACGUGCUAUUAUAGGGGCCACGACCGAGGUGGCAACCUUUAAGCAAGCGCUGUCCGAGGCCGAAAACAGAGCGGCCUCGGAGCGCACAGAGAGAGGGAAGCAGGAGGCGCGGGUGGAGGAGGUGCAGAAAGAGCUCCAGGCUCUCGUGAAAAAACACGAGAGUUUGGAGCUUGACUCAAAGACGCAAGCGUCCGAGCUUGCGGCAGCCCUCGAAAGCGCGAAGUCUGCCAAGGCCGAAGCCCAGAAAGCCCUCCAAGAAAUUGAAGUGAUGAAGAAGAUAGCGGCGUGUAAGGCAUUCAUUAUGCAAAGCAAGCAUGUGAAAGUGAAUUACUUGUUACUUACUCGAGUCCGGAGCUCUCCAGGAGCAUUCACAGAUUUGCCCCGUAGUGCGUUUGAUGCCGCUGCCUACUACCAAUCCAAGGAGCGGAGCUUGAUGGAGAAGGUGUUCUGGUCUCAGUAUGCUGAGGCCGGACACCUAGUGCCUUUGAGCGACCAGCUGAAGCAAAUGGUCGAGCUCCACAAGGUGUCCGAACAGGCCAUAAAGGGUCUCUUAGUUCGGCUUUGGCCUGGAGAGGCUCUGCCUGGGAGCUACUUCGGGCUGGUGAGGCGGCUGGUGGAUGCCUGUCCACGGCUUGAAGUAAUCAAGCGCUCCGUCUGCAUCGAAGGUGCCCGUAGGGCGCUUGCCCGUGCUAAAGUGCACUGGGGCAAGAUGGAUGCGGAGAAGCUGGUGAAGGACGGGCCGCCGCCGGGCAAGGAGCAUCGCGUCCCGGAAGCGUAUUAUUAGGGCGUCCUGAAGGGUGCCGCCUUAUAGCGGAUGAAUGCUUCAAAGAUGUAAUUUUUGAGUAAACUCGCAUUUGUGAUCCUGUACGCUGAAAACUUGUUCAUAUGCGCUAAGCAACGCUUUUGAAUUUAAAAUAUUACCUUCUGUGCGGCUGUUUAUCAAAUUUAAGAGAUGGCGAGUCGUCGGCUUCUGCCCCCGUGCCACGAGUGCCGGGGUGUUUGGGAUAAACAUGAGCGCUCUUUUUCCCAUUCUUGGGUCCAUCGAGGAAGGCGCUCAACACAACGAACAAGGCAAUCGGACUAUAAUGUUUGAACAUUCUCACUUAGCCAUACAAUUCUAUAAUUUUAAAUUUCGGCGAAGCCCCUAGUGUUCGGAAGACCGAGUUCGGGGCGCUAUCCACGCCUAGGCCGGACAAAGCCGACUCCUCGCUCUAAGCGGCAUAAGUCUUUAGGGACUCGAAAACCUCUCGAACAGCGACCAGCUCUCGCCUCAUCAUGACGGUCAGUUUUAGCUUUCUCUACUAAGGUGCUUAGCCCAGCUCAACUGGGGCACAAUCGCAGUAGUUCUCCUAGUGCUACCUUAGCCGAUAUAACGGAACGUAAGGUACCAAAACAUAGGAGCCGGGCAAACCCAACUAUUGACCCAAGACAUGAUUCGGAGCCAAUGCAUAUAAUGCUAUAAGUUCGGGGUGCCGCACUUGUGAAAGUGUUCGGACUUCUCACACCGUAUUGUGGGGUACUUAAGCCCCUGGCGUAUUGGCCGUACCAAAGUGUAUGGAUGCAACAUGUCAUUAAUGAACAUAUAUUCGUAAAAAAGAGUAAUGCAAUAAUAGACGGAAGCUAUGCAUUGUUUAUUUAAAAAGGCUGCGAUCAAAGAAAAACGAUACAAAUAGUGCAAUAAGCAAAAGAUGGGACUAUUUAACAUGUCCUUUCCAGGGGCGAGCUGCGGAAUGUUAUGUGAAACAGGUAUACUGCUCGUUAUAGAGACCACCUUAGAGUUCCAUAGUGCGGCGUAGCUUUCUGCUUCCCUGGUUGUAUCGUUUGUGCGGCAAUUGUACUGCCGGACAAGCCUUCCGAAGAAUGGAGUCCUGAAAAUAAGAGAAAAUUAAGAAGUCGGCAGCCCCUAGUGUGGUUUAAGCCGUGUUUAGGGCGUGCCGUGAUGGUGCCCCUCACCCUGUGCCCAUGGUAUUUUCAGAGCGUAGUUAUGUACGCGCAACACUGGUUUCGCAAGUUCGCGAGGGCUGGGGUUGGGGCCGCAUUGCUACGCUUGCUCGGAACAUGCCAGGCGGUCUUGUUGUAAGUUUCUCCGGGCGCUCUUGACGGUGCCCAGACGUUUAAUGGCCGGACCGGAGAAUUGCCUUGAGAGGCUGCUUUGUACUUCCGCUGCGAUAGCCGCCGUAUGCUCCUCCGUUCGGAGAGAGCGUUCGGUGUUUCCAUUGACCGUGAUGACUCCUCGAGGGCCUGGCAUCUUGAGCUUGAGGUAUGCGUAGUGCGGCACCGCAUUGAACAUGGCAAAUGCGGUUCGCCUGAGCGAUAGCCACUGCCGAACGGGACUAUGUCGAAGAUUAACUCCUCGCUUCGGAAAUUAUCCGGAGAUCCGAAGACCACUUCAAGUGUAACUGAGCCUGUACGGUUGGCCUCUACACCUGGUAUGACGCCUUUAAAGGUCGUUUUAGUGGGUUUGAUCCUCGAGGGGUCGAUGCCCAUUUUCCGCACUGUAUCCUGGUAAAGCAGGUUCAGGCUACUGCCGCCGUCCAUAAGGACUCUAGUAAGGUGAAAUCUGUCAAUAAUUGGGUCUAGAACCAAUGCGGCGAAUCCGCCAUGACGGAUGCUAGUGGGGUGGUCCCUUCGAUCAAAAGUGAUCGGGCAGGAAGACCAUGGGUUGAACUUUGGGGCGACUGGCUCCAUCGCGUAUACGUCCCUUAGCGCACGCUUCCGCUUCCUCUCGGGGACGUGGGUUGCGUAUAUCAUGUUCACCAUCCGCACUUGUGGGGGAAAACCUUUCUGUCCACUGUUGUUCGGCGGGCGGGGCUCCUCCUCGUCAUCGCUAUGCAGCCCCUUGUCUCUACUUUCAACAUUUAACUUGCCUGCCUGCUUGAACACCCAACAAUUUCUGUUGGUGUGAUUGGCUGGUUUUUCGGGGCUGCCAUGUAUCUGGUAUGAGCGGUCGAGUAUUCGGUCCAAACUGGACGGGCCUGGAGUAUUUCUUUUGAAUGGCUUUUUCCGCUGACCGGGUUUAGAGCCUCUGAAUCCGGCAUUAAUUGUCGUAUCCUCAGCAUUGUCGUCGUUAAUGCGGCGCUUUUGCUUGUUGCGACGCUGAAAGUGCAACUAUUCCUAGGUGGUUUUGGUAAUUCCUAACAACAUAUAGCUCAUUGAGCUAACAUUAUUCCAAGAUUAAUAUUUCAGGAAAAGCUUAAUGAAUGGCAUGGCAUGGAUGAGGAAAGUGGAUCCCUCAAAAUUCUAAGGACAAAAAGUUUGGCUCAAGCUUGAAGCUCAAGACUCUACAUUUUAUAUUUUAGUGAUCCAAGAUCACAUUGAGUCUAUAGAAAAAGCCAAUACUAUCAAAGAGGGAUGAGGUGUUGCUUAAUGGCUUGCUUGCUCAAAAUUCUUAGUGAUAUGCUCCAAAAUCCUCAACUACCUUCCCACAUCCACAUAUGACCUAAACCAAAAGUCAAACUCGACAUCACCGAUUCUUUCUAUCCGGCGCCACCGAGUUUCAAAUGUCAUAGCCACUGCCACAAACCCUAGGCAAAUCGGUCUCACCGAUAGGGAUCUUGGUCUCACCGAGAUGGGUUUGUAAUCUCUCUGUUUCCCUUCGUAACGUUUCGGUCUUACCGAGAUGAGCGAUCGGUCCCACGGAGAUUGCAAUGUAAACUCUCUGUUUCCCUUUUGUAACACUUGGUCUCACCGAGAUGAGCGAAUCGGUCCCACCGAGUUUACCUGACCAACUCUCUCGUUAGCUUAUUACCAAAAUCGGUCCCACCGAGUUUGUUUAAUUGGUCACACCGAGAUUACGUUAUGCCGUAACUCUAACCAUACCGGUCCUACCGAGUUGCAUCUCAGUCCCAUCGAAAAUCCUAACGGUCACUAGGUUUGCUGAAUUGGUCCGACCGAGUUUAACCAUUCGGUCCCACCGAGUUUGGCAAAUUGUAUGUAACGCUUAGAUAUUGUGUGGAGGCUAUAUAUACCCCUCCACCCACUCUUUAUUUGUGGAGAGAGCCAUCAGAACAUACCUACACUUCCAAUACAUAUUUUCUGAGAGAGAACCACCUACACUUGUGUUGAGGUCAAGAUAUUCCAUUCCAACCAUAUGAAUCUUGAUCUCUAGCCUUCCCCAAGUUGCUUUCCACUCAAAUCUUCUUUUCACCAAAUCCAAAUCCUGUGAGAGAGAGUUGAGUGUUGGGGAGACUAUCAUUUGAAGCACAAGAGCAAGGAGUUCAUCAUUAAUACACCAUUUGUUACUUCUUGGAGAGUGGUGUCUCCUAGAUUGGCUAGGUGUCACUUGAGAGCCUCCGACAAGAUUGUGGAGUUGAACCAAGGAGUUUGUAAGGGCAAGGAGAUCGCCUACUUCGUGAAGAUCUACCGCUAGUGAGGCAAGUCCUUCGUGGGCGACGGUCAUGAUGGAAUAGACAAGGUUGCUUCUUCGUGGACCCUUCGUGGGUGGAGCCCUCUGUGAACUCGCGCAACCGUUACCCUCCGUGGGUUGAAGUCUCCAUCAACGUGGAUGUACGAUAGCACCACCUAUUGGAACCACGACAAAAACAUCCGUGUCUCCAAUUGUGUUUGAAUCCUCCAAACCCUUCCCUUUACAUUCUUGCAAGUUGCAUGCUUUACUUUCCGCUGCUCAUAUACUUUUUUGCAUGCUUUCUUGAAUUGUGUGGAGAUUGCUUAACUUGUGCUAAGAUAGCUAAAAUCUGCCAAGAACUAAAAUUGGGAAAAGGCUAGAUUUUUAUUUGGUCAAGUAGUCUAAUCACCCCCUUUAGACAUACUUUCGAUCCUACAAGUGGUAUCAGAGCUUUGGUCUCCAUUUGCUUUGAUUUUCAUAGCUUUUGGCGGUCAUAGCCUUGGUUUCACAACCUAGGAGAGUAUGGCGUCUAGCGAGGGAAAUUAUCACUAUAGAGGUCCUUACUUUGAUGGCACUAAUUUUGCUAGUUGGAAGCAUAAGAUGAAAAUGCAUAUUCUUGGACAUAACUCCGCCGUUUGGGCUAUUGUGUGUAUUGGCUUGCGAGGUGAAUUCUUUGACGGGAAAGAACCGAACCGUGAAGCCACCGCGGAAGAGUUGAAAAUGCUGCAAUACAACGCUCAAGCUUGUGAUAUCCUCUUCAACGGAUUGUGCCCCGAAGAAUUCAACAAAAUCAGCCGUCUUGAGAAUGCAAAGGAAAUUUGGGAUACUUUGAUUGAUAUGCACGAAGGUACCGACUCCGUCAAGGAAUCCAAAUUGGAUGUGCUUCAAAGUCAACUUGACAAGUUCAAAAUAAAGGAUGGUGAAGGUGUUGCUGAAAUGUACUCUAGGCUUGCUCUUAUCACAAAUGAGAUUGCCGGCUUAGGGAGUGAAGAGAUGACAAAUAGAUUCAUCAUCAAGAAGAUCCUAAGAGUCUUGGAUGGAAAAUAUGAUAUCAUGUGCAUAUUGACCCAAAUGAUGCCAAAUUACAAAGAUCUCAAGCCAACGGAAGUCAUUGGAAGAAUUGUUGCUCAUGAGAUGUCACUCAAGGAUAAAGAGGAACUUCACAACAAAUCAAGUGGUGCUUACAAAGCCUCAUGUGAAGCCCCACAUCAUCAAGUGAGAAAGAAACCUUCAAUGGAUAAUUCAGUUUAAUGGUGAAGAACUUCAACAAGUUCUACAAGAGUAGAAGCAAAAAGAGAAGCUCCAAGUCAAGGUCCUACAAUGACAAAAGAUCUUCUAGUCAAGAGCGAAACUGCUACAAUUGUGGAAGGUCCGGACACUAUUCCAAUGAGUGUACGGCCCCCUACAAGAGAAGAGAAGAUUCUCCCAAGAGAAGAAGUAGAAGAGAAGAAUCACCAUCUAGAGAAAGAAGGAGUAGAGAUGAUCGUUAUGAACGAAGACCCUCACAGAGAAGCAAGGAUUCGGAAAGAAAGGACAAGUCAUCAAGGAGCUACACAAAACUAAGACAUCAAUCUCAUAUUGGUGAAUGGGUAUCCGGCUCCGACUCCGACAACCACUCCGAGAGAAGCUAUCACUCCGACUCCGAAUAUACUCAAGAUGAAGGUGUUGCUGGUCUAGCACUUGUGACAACCAACUCCUACGACAUAUUUGACUCACCAAACGAAGGAGUUGGAACAUGCUUCAUGGCUAGAGGCCCAAAGGUAUCACACCCCGAGUAUGUUGAUUUCAAUAGUGAUGAAGAUGACUUGUUAGGUGAUGAUGAUUUACUUGUUGACAACUCUAGUGAUGAAUACUGUGAUGAAACGUCAAUUAAUCAUGCUAAUCAAGAUAAAAUGAAUGACAAUGAUAAGGAGAAGAUUGAGUCUCUAACUAAAGAACUAAACACUCUUAAGUUAGCUCAUGAAAGUAUCUUAGGAGAUCAUCGAGAACUUUCAAGGACUCACGAGAAAUUACACUUUGAAAAGCUCAACCUUGAGCAAGAGCAUGAGUUCUUAAAAGAAAUCAAUGAUGAUCUUCGUAAGAGAAGUUCUUCUUACAUUGCCAAGCAUUUACUCUUAUCCACUUACAUGCCUCAAGUCAAGUCUAGUAACAAGAACAAGAAAGAUUCUUCCUCUAGUAGUAACAAUAAUCAUGCUAAAUCCAAUAUUGUUGCUUCUAGUAGUUCUCUUGAUUCCAUUAAUGAUUCUCUUAGCCAAGUUACACUUGAGCAAGAAAAUAGCUUAUUGAAGGGAAUUAUAGAGAAAGGUGUUUACAAGAGCCUUGCCAGAAAUAAGCAAUUCGAGGAAAUUGUACGCAAGCAAGGAAGGCACCGGAAGAAUCAAGGUGUUGAUUUUAAACGAAAGUUCAAUGCCAAUGGAGUUGAGUGGGAAGAAGGUCAAUACCCCAAGACAAAGUUUGUUCCUCAAUAAUAGAAGUAUGAUCCUACUUCUUUCAAAGGGACACAAGCUCAAGGUGAUCUUCCACCACAAGACCACAAGCAAAAAGGCAAGGACAAGCUUCAAGAGGAAAUUGAUGCAUUUGAAGAAGCUCCUAAGGCCUCGGUCAAGUGGGUUCCCAAGACUACUUCAAGUUCCACUUCAUCAAGUACAACUACAACACCGAGGAUUCCCAUCAAGAUGGUGUGGAUUCCGAAGAAGAAGAACUGGAGAGUUCUUGAGGGUGACUCCGCCAACAUACUUCACUCUUAUCAUCUUGGCAAGAACAAGUGCAAUCAACUUCCAUAUCUUGCACUAGUUCAAGGAGUCACAAACCCUUUUGUUGGUAAGACAAGGGACAAGGUAACCUAGAAGCUUUCAUAGACAUCAUCUUGUGUGUGCAUCACUUUAUGUCUAUGAAUAUCCUUGCUUGUUCCUUGUGGGACUAACCCGUGUAGGUAUUGAAAGUGCAACUCACUUCAAUGGAUAGCUUCAAAUGAUCUACAUCAACAUUGAGCAUCCACAUCUUCAACAUCUACAUGAAGUCAUCAUCGACAAAACCCAAGGUUAGUUCAUCCCUCUUAGGGGGGAUCUCACAUCUUGGGGGAGCUUUACUCUAAGAAUUGAUCUAAAGCAACUCUAAUGGUGUGAACACAACAAUACUUUAUGUAAAAGUGGUAACCCCACUUGUGCUUAAACGAUGAGUAUGACCUAUGAUCAAAUGUUCUCAUUUGACUCCUAAGUCAAUAUACUCAUAUAUAGAUGACCUAGUCAUCGCAAAUUGUUUGAUAGAUGCUAGAAUUGGUUGUGCAUGCUUUGCCACAUAUUUCAAUUGCCAUUUUAUUGUGUGAGCAUGUUGAUUGCAUAUUUUACUCAUUCGAGGACAUCCACUUGUUGUUUUGAUUGAUUGGUUUUCUUUUCUUUUGCCAAGUGGAUGGACAAGAAUGCCUAAGAACCCUCUCUAGCUAUCUAUGCUUUUCUUGUCUCAAACUCUAUUCAUGCUACAUCACAAAAAUUGAUCAAGUCAGAUUCGAACCACUCUGUGUGAGGAGCACUCGAAGACCCCGAUUCGUCAUAGACUUAAAGUUCCAAAACUUCUUUGUGCCUUUCGGUCUGACCGAUUCAUCCAUUUCGGUCAUACCGAGAUCACUAAGUCGAUCUAGGUUUUCAAUCUCGGUGCAACCGAUUUGAACCUUUCGGUCACACCGAGUUUCAGUAACUGAUUGCAGUUAUGAAUCUCGGUGCCACCGAGUUGUUCCACUCGGUCACACCGACAGGGUCGGGCUAUAUAUACCCACGGGUCAAAUUUUGGAAAACUUUCCAAACCUCCUCGACCCGCGCUUAGCCCGCUCUGCCUCCAGGGUCUCCGGAUCGUCUUCCUCGUCGCCAGCCGCCUCCUGCCGCUGGUCUCCGCCGCCGUCAACGGAAAUCAUUCCCGCCGUUGCCGCUGUAGCAAGUUCAUCGCCGAACUAGGGUAUGAACUUGAUCACUGUGCUAUCCUCAAUCCGAUUCCUAGCACAUUGUGUUUGCCAUGAAUCUUGCCACGAUUGAAACGAUCUUAUCCAGCCAAAACACUCUGUAGAUUAGAGUUGAAUUGAAAAUUUAGGGUUAGGUUUCCGCCGAAACCAUCUCGGACCCACCGAGUUGUGGAACUCAGUACCACCCAUUCGGCUCAGGCCAUUGCACAUGUAAUUUUCGGUCUGACCGAGAAUUGCAAAUCGGUGUGACCGAGUUCAGGACUUUGUGAAACCCUAGCAGUCUCGGUGCCACCAAACUAUGACUCGGUCUGACCGAGUUCACUAGUUUAGGUUCCAACAGUUGUUUCGGUAUCACCGAGUUUACAAAUCGGUUGAUCCGAAAUGCUUUCUGUGGAAAAGUAAAACUAAGUUUUUGACUCAUUCUUUUGCAAAAACCUCUGCAUUUUGUGAUGCUCAUCCACUCUAUCUCAUCUAUAUCUAUUCACAGGGUCUGCUGUCAGUGUUUGCAAUAUGUCUGAUCAGAGUGACAGCCAGAACAGGUCAGAGGAGCAGGUUCACCUGAGUGAGGGCACUAGUCCAUCUAGCAGUUCAGAUGAUGGUAGCAGGAGCACCCCAAGCAACUUACCCAAAGCUGCCACUAGGGCCAGAAAGAAGAAGACCUCUGAAUCUGAGGAUGAAGACUAUGUGGCAGUUGAGGAUGAGGCCACUUCCAAGAAGAAAGUGGUUAAGAAGGAAUAUAGCACUGCUGCUACCACCAAUCUAGGCAUGAAGCAAAAGGUUCCUGCAAAGAGAAUUCCAAUGUCCACGGCCAGAGCAUCUACUCAAGUCCCUUUGGGAUCUGAACCCAAAGAGGCUGCUGCAGAAGGGAAGAAGAGGAAGGAGAGGACCACUGCUAGAGUGCUUGGGAGAUCCUCAAUCAUGAGAGAUUCUGAAGAGGAAGAGGAAGAAGAGGUUGCUACACCAGCACCCAAGGCACAAAAGCUGAUGGGUGAUGCUAUAAAGUCAGGGGCUACAACAUCAAAGCCCAAAGAAGCACCCAAAGCAGCCUCCAAGCCCAAGAGUGCACCUAAGAGGAAUACCAGGAGUAUACCAGCUAUUGAGAAGAACAAGGCCCCAGUGCCUGAAGUUGCUGCUGAUGAAGAUGAUGAAGGACAAGUCCUGAGGAAGCUCAAACCCAAAAUCCCAGAUCACAAUGAUGCUCAUCCUGUGGCUGAGAACAUGAAGAUCAGGAGAGACUCAGGGUUGAGGCUAUGGAGAGAGUCAGAUCCAUAUGCCACCAGGAGAAGCACUACUGUUGAUUACAGGUUCCACACAAAGGAACAUCAGGAUUUCUAUGAGACAAUUUUGUUGGACAAGAAGCCUAUAGUGUGUGAUAUGAGGUGGGUCGACUGGACCUACAUGAAGGAGAAUGAAGAACACUAUCCUGGAGUGUAUGACAGCUUCAGUGCGUGUGGAGUUGCAGACUUUGUUGGGCAGAAGCUCACAAACUGGAAUGAUGAGCUCAUUAUGCAAUUCUACUCCACAGCACAUUUCUAUCCAGAUGGCAGAAUAGUUUGGAUGUCUGAAGGAAUGAGAUACCAAUCAACUAUUGAGGAAUGGGCCAAUCUGAUCAAUGCCCCAAAGGAAAGUGAAGAUGACUUGGAUGUUUAUGCCAAGAAAAAGAUGGAUCACAAUUCUAUGUCACAGAUGUACAAAGAGAUCCCAGACAAAGCUCUUGAGACUUUCAAGUUUGGGUCAGUCCAUUUUCUUCUGUCAGGACUGCCAACGAUCAACUAGAUCCUAAGGCACACUCUUUUGCCCAAGUCAGGUGACCACAACAUGAUCAGAGGGUAUGCAAUUAAUUUGCUACACAUAUUUGAUGUGCCACAAAAAUUCAAGGUCAUGAGCCUCAUGGUUGAGACUAUCAAGAGGACAGCAGCAGACCAAAAGAGAUGUUGUGGAUAUGCCCCACAAAUUUAGGAGUUGAUUAACUCAAAGAUGGGCAUAGCAAAAUAUCUGUUGGAUAAGGAACACUUUGUUCUCUAUCCUGACUUUGAGGACAAUCAAGUGGUUAUGGAUGAAGAUGAACCAUCCUCAGUACAAGCACAAGCCAAGAGAGAGAAGGCAAAAGCUAAAAAGGCUGCAAGGAUGCCAACUACUGAAGAAGCAUCUCAGUAUCUCUUGAAGAGCAAGCAAGAUCAGCUUGGCUACCUGAUUGCAUCCACUCUGAGGAUUGAGAAGGGACUGGCCACCCUGACUCAAAACCAGGAGAGCUUGGAAAGAAUCGUAGAGCAAAAAUUCUAUGACUUGGAUGUGAAAGUAACCGAGAUUCAGUCUGUUGUGGAGCAACUUCAACAUGAUAUGCAGGAGAGGAAGAGCAAGGCAACCACUGAUGCAUUUGCCAGAGUGCCUAGAGCUCAGAGGUAUGCUGCAGUGCCUGUUCCAGACACCAGAGCCACGUCAUCUGCAUUAGCUACAGAUUCAGCGCAACCAGCUCCAGCACCAACUCCUUCAGCUCCAUCCACAUCAACUGAAGUCUUCGUUCAAGGAGCCAUCUCUACGCCACCACCUGAAGAUCAAGCUUGAGAGACGUUUUAGUGCUAUGCAUUUUUUAUGAACUUUUUGGUAUCUUGUUGCCAAAGGGGGAGAAACAUGUAUAGAUCAUAGGCUUCGAGAGAGAGCGUUGCUUUUUAUUCUCUAUUGGUUUGGUGGUUGAACUUUGUUUAUCUUUUGAUUGCUUGAGAUACUAUGCUAUUAUCUGUGAGACAUUGAUGAUCAUGUGGUUGAUCAUAAGCUACACUUAUGCUUGUUAGAUGAUAUUAUCUUACUUAUCCUUAUAUGAUCAUUCACUUUGCUUGGUGAUGAGUGCAUGUAUUCAAUCUUUAUUAUUUUGAGUGCUCCACCAAGAUGUAUGUGACAUGGAAGAGUAACUCAUGAUCCUAACUUAUUGUGCAUUUGCAGUCCAAAGCAAAUCUUAAGAUAUGCACAAAUUUAGGGGGAGCUCUUGCUUUUCACAUACUUCUUAAAGCGACAAUAUCUUUCACUCUUAUUAUCAUUUGUCGAAGCUUUGAUCUAUAUGUUGUCAUCAAUUACCAAAAAGGGAGAGAUUGAAAGUGCAACUAUCCCUGGGUGGUUUUGGUAAUUCCUAACAUAUAGCUCAUUGAGCUAACAUUAUUCCAAGAUUAAUAUUUCAGGAAAAGCUCAAUGAAUGGCAUGGCAUGGAUGAGGAAAGUGGAUCCCUCAAAAUUCUAAGGACAAAAAGUUUGGCUCAAGCUUGAAGCUCAAGACUCUACAUUUUAUAUUUUAGUGAUUCAAGAUCACAUUGAGUGUAUAGGAAAAGCCAAUACUAUCAAGGAGGGAUGAGGUGUUGCUUAAUGACUUGCUCAAAAUUCUUAGUGAUAUGCUUCAAAAUCCUCAACUACCUUCCCACAUCCACAUAUGACCUAAACCAAAAAUCAAACUCGGCCCCACCGAUUCUUUCUAUCCGGCGCCACCGAGUUUCAAAUGUCAUAGCCACUGCCACAAACCCUAGGCAAAUCGGUCUCACCGAUGGGGAUCUCGGUCUCAUCGAGAUGGGAUUGUAAUCUCUCUGUUUCCCUUCGUAACGUUUUGGUCUUACCGAGAUGAGCGAUCGGUCCCACCGAGAUUGCAAUGUAAACUCUCUAUUUCCCUUUUGUAACACCUGGUCUCACCGAGAUGAGCGAAUCGGUCCCACCGAGUUUACCUGACCAACUCUCUCGUUAGCUUAUUACCAAAAUCGGUCCCACCGAGUUUGUUUAAUCGGUCACACCAAGAUUACGUUAUGCCGUAACCCUAACCAUAUCGGUCCUACCGAGUUGCAUCUCAGUCCCAUCGAAAAUCCUAAUGGACACUAGGUUUGCUGAAUCGGUCCGACCGAGUUUAACCAUUCGGUCCCGCCGAGUUUGGCAAAUUGUAUGUAACGCUUAGAUAUUAUGUGGAGGCUAUAUAUACCCCUCCACCCACUCUUCAUUUGUGGAGAGAGCCAUCAGAAUAUACCUACACUUCCAAUACACAUUUUCUGAGAGAGAACCACCUACACUUGUGUUGAGCUCAAGAUAUUCCAUUCCAACCAUAUGAAUCUUGAUCUCUAGCCUUCCCCAAGUUGCUUUCCACUCAAAUCUUCUUUCCACCAAAUCCAAAUCCUGUGAGAGAGAGUUGAGUGUUGGGGAGACUAUCAUUUGAAGCACAAGAGCAAGGAGUUCAUCAUCAACACACCAUUUGUUACUUCUUGGAGAGUGGUGUCUCCUAGAUUGGCUAGGUGUCACUUGGGAGCCUUCGACAAGAUUGUGGAGUUGAACCAAGGAGUUUGUAAGUGUUGGAAAUAUGCCCUAGAGGCAAUAAUAAAAGCAUUAUUAUUAUAUUUCCUUGUUCAUGAUAAUUGUCUUUAUUCAUGCUAUAAUUGUGUUAUCCGAAAAUCGUAAUACAUGUUUGAAUAAUAGACACCAACAUGUCCCUAGUAAGCCUCUAGUUGACUAGCUCAUUGAUCAACAGAUAGUCAUGGUUUCCUGACUAUGGACACUUGAUGUCAUUGAUAACGAGAUCACAUCAUUAGGAGAAUGAUGUGAUGGACAAGACCCAAUCCUAAACAUAGCACAAGGUCGUAUAGUUCGUUUGCUAGAGUUUUCCAAUGCCAAGUAUCUUUUCCUUAGACCAUGAGAUCGUGUAACUCCCGGAUACCGUAGGAGUGCUUUGGGUGUACCAAACAUCACAACAUAACUGGGUGACUAUAAAGGUAUACUACAGGUAUCUCCGAAAGUGACUGUUGGGUUGACACGGAUCAAGACUGGGAUUUGUCACUCCAUAUGACGGAGAGGUAUCACUGGGCCCACUCGGUAAUGCAUCAUCAUAAUGAGCUCAAAGUGACCAAGUGUCUGGUCACGGGAUCAUGCAUUACAGUACGAGUAAAGUGACUUGCCGGUAACGAGAUUGAACGAGGUAUUGGGAUACCGACGAUCGGAUCUCGGGCAAGUAACAUACCGAUUGACGAAUGGAAUUGUAUGCGGGGUUGCUUGAAUCCUCGACAUCGUGGUUUAUCCGAUGAGAUCAUCGAGGAGCAUGUGGGAGCCAACAUGGGUAUCCAGAUCCCGCUGUUGGUUAUUGACCGAAGAACGAUCUCGGUCAUGUCUACAUGUCUCCCGAACCCGUAGGGUCUACACACUUAAGGUUCGGUGACGCUAUGGUUGUAGGGAUAUGUAUAUGCAGUAACCCGAAUGUUGUUCGGAGUCCCGGAUGAGACCCCGGACGUCACGAGGAGUUCCGGAAUGGUCCGUAGGUAAAGAAUUAUAUAUAGAAAGUGCUAUUUCGGGCAUCGGGACAAGUUUCCGGGUCACCGGUAUUGUACCGGGACCACCGAAAGGGUCCCGGGGGUCCACCGGGUGGGGCCACCUGUCCUGGGGGGCCACAUGGGCUGUAGGGGGUGCGCCUUGGCCUACAUGGGCCAAGGGCACCAGCCCCAAGAGGCCCAUGCGCCUAGGGUUUCAAGGAGGGAAGAGUCCUAAGAGGGGAAGGCACCUCCUAGGUGCCUUGGGGAGGAGGGAUUCCUCCCCUUGGCCGCACCCCCCUAGGAGAUCUCCUAGGGCCGGCGCCCCCCCCUUGGCCCUCCUAUAUAUAGUGGGGGAGAUGGAGGACUUCUUACCUUGACUUUUGGUGCCUCCCUCUUCCUCUCCAACACCUCCUCCUCCUCCAUAGUGCUUGGGAAGCCCUGCCGGAGUACUGCAGCUCCAUCACCACCACGCCGUCGUGCUGCUGCUGGAGCCAUCUCCCUCAACCUCUCCUUCCCCCUUGCUAGAUCAAGAAGGAGGAGACGCGGCUGUUCCGUACGUGUGUUGAACGCGGAGGUGCCGUCCGUUCGGUGCUAGGAUCUUCGGUGAUUCGAAUCACGUCGAGUACGACUCCCUCAUCCCCGUUCUUGAACGCUUCUGCUCGCGAUCUACAAGGUACGUAGAUGCAUCUAAUCACUCGUUGCUAGAUGAACUCCUAGAUGGAUCUUGGUGAAACCGUAGGAAAAUUUUUGUUUUCUGCAACAUUCCCCAACAGUAAGGGCAAGGAGAUCGCCUACUUCGUGAAGAUCUACCGCUAGUGAGGCAAGUCCUUCGUGGGCGACGGUCGUGAUGGAAUAGACAAGGUUGCUUCUUCGUGGAAUCUUCGUGGGUGGAGCCCUCCGUGGACUCGCGCAACCGUUACCCUCCGUGGGUUGAAGUCUCCAUCAACGUGGAUGUACGAUAGCAUCACCUAUCGGAACCACGACAAAAACAACCGUGUCUCCAAUUGCGUUUGAAUCCUCCAAACCCUUCCCUUUACAUUCUUGCAAGUUGCAUGCUUUAGUUUCCGCUGCUCAUAUACUCUUUUGCAUGCUUGCUUGAAUUGUGUGGAGAUUUCUUGACUUGUGCUAAGAUAGCUAAAUUCUGCCAAGAACUAAAAUUGGGAAAAGGCUAGAUUUUUAUUUGGUCAAGUAGUCUAAUCACCCCCCCUCUAGACAUACUUUCGAUCCUACAGACGUGACCUGCCACUGCUGUCAUUGGUAUCCGAAUUACCAGGGCUCUUGGUCAUGUUAUUGCUGCGAGCUGGCCAGCUGUUUUCUCCCGCGCAAAAGCGGGUCAUAAGUGUCGUGAGGGCUGCCAUAGAUUUUGGCUUUUCCUGUCCUGGGUGCCGUGCAAGCCACUCGUCGCGGAUGUUAUGCUUGAAGGCUGCUAGGGCCUCUACGUCCGGACAGUCGAUGAUUUGAUUUUUCUUGGUUAGGAACCGUGUCCAGAAUUGUCUGGCCGAUUCCUCUGGCUGCUGAAUUAUGUGGCUAAGGUCAUCGGCGUCUGGUGGUCGCAUAUAAGUGCCCUGGAAAUUGUCGAGGAAUGCGGUUUCUAGGUCCUCCCAACAACCAAUUGAUUCUGCUGGCAAGCUGUUAAGCCAAUGUCGAGCUGGUCCUUUAAGCUUGAGUGGGAGGUAUUUGAUGGCGUGUAGGUCAUCACCGCGGGACAUGUGGAUAUGAAGGAGAUAGUCCUCGAUCCAUACCGCAUGAUCUGUUGUGCCAUCGUAUGAUUUGAUGUUCAUGGGUUUGAAACCCUCGGGGAUUUAAUGAUCCAUUACUUCAUCUGUGAAGCGUAGUGGGUGUGCGGCGCCUCUGUAUUGGGCUAUAUCACGACGCAGCUCAAACGAGCUUUGUCUACUGUGUUUGGCCCGGACAGAUUUACUGUAUCCGGAGUGAUGAUUACCGUCUCGUGUCGUGGGGCGCCCACGCGAUCCGUAGAUCGAUCUUGUUUGCCUUGCCUUGUCUUCCAAUAUAUCUCGCAGGUCUGGUGCAUUUUCCCGUGCCUUGGUAUUUUUUGAGCGGCGCCGGCAUGUGGCUUGAGUGAAGGGCAAAGAGGCCUCUCUGUCGCGGCCACGGGGUGGCUGGUCGGUCGCAUCAUGCGCUGGUGAUGUAGGUUUAGGUGCUUCGUCCUCUAAUCGGGGUAGCAACCUGCGCUUUGGGUAGCUCUUGGAGGGGCAUUCGAGUUCAUACUCUUCUGCCGCAAGGACUUCAGUCCAUCUGUCGGCUAGCAAAUCUUGAUCAGCUCUAAGUUGUUGCUGUUUUUUUUGAGGCUGCUCACCGUGGCCAUAAGCCUGUGUUUGAAACGCUCUUGUUCAACGGGAUCCUCCGGCAUGACAAAUUCAUUGUCGUCGAGGCUUGUCUCGUCUUUGGAGGAGGCAUAUAAUUAUCGUCCUCGACCUCUCUGUAUGCCGCUCUCUCAUGAGGGCUGGCUUCUCCAUCCUCCUGUGCUAAAUCUUGCUGGAGGUGGUUGUCUUCGGCACCGUCCGGGGUGUUAUUAUCUCCCGUGCCGGAAUCACCGUUUUUGCUUUGGCGGGAUUUAGAGCGGCGCCGCUGACGCCGACGCGUAGGCUGCUUCUUGGAGGGGUCAUCCUCCGCUGUUCCAUCGCCAUUGCCUUCUUUUGGGGUGUCCACCAUGUAUAUAUCGUACGACGAGGUGGCUUUCCAGUGCCCUAUAGGCGCUGGUUCUUGAUCGUCUCCUGCAUCGGCGUCCAUACCGUCGAUGUCUUCGGAGUCGAAGUCGAGCAUGUCGGUUAAAUCAUCAACAGAGGCUACGAAGUGGGUGGUGGGUGGGCUUUGAAUUUCUUCAUCAUCCGCAUCCCAACCUUGCUGACCAUAGUCCGGCCAGGGCUCUCCUGAUAAAGAGAGAGACUUUAGUGAAUUCAGAAUAUUGCCGAAGGGCGAGUGCUAAAAGAUGUCCGCGGCGGUGAACUCCAUGAUCGGCGCCCAAUCGGGUUCGAUCGGUAGGGGCGCGGAGGGCUCGGAGUUUGGAGAGGAGUCCGACUCCUUGGAGUCACGGGCUUCGCAGAGAAUAGGGUUGGUGUUCGGCUCGAUCGCUGUAGAGAUUGCAGCCCCCGAGGCGGUGUCCAACCACCCAUCCUCGAUUGGCGCAGUUGGCUUCAAAUUAAGGGUCGGAGCUGAUGCGGGUGUGGCCUCCAGGGCACUGUUUGGUGGCAGAGCUAGAUCAUACCCAUCGUGACAGUGCGGCGCGCUCGGCUGCGGCUCGAACCCGUCGAAGAUCAAGUCUCCGCGGAGGUCGGCCGUGUAGUUCAAACUUCCAAAUCUGACCUGAUGGCCAGGGGCGUAGCUUUCAAUCUGCUCCAGAUGGCCAAGCGAAUUGGCACGCAGGGCAAAGCCGCCAAAUACGAAGAUCUGUCCAGGGAGAAAAGUCUCACUCUGGAUCGCAUCGUCGUUGAUGAUCGGAGGAACCAUCGCUCCUAAAAGUGACGACACAGAGGAACUCUCAAUGAAAGCACCAAUGUCGGUGUCAAAACCGGCGGAUCUCGGGUAGGGGGUCCCGAACUGUGCGUCUAGGCGGAUGGUAAUAGGAGGCAGGGG